UUAACAUAUAAUAGAUUAUCCUGCUUAACAGGCAUGUGUGGAAUGUUUUUAGUAUUUAAAGUGAAACUGUAGCUAAAGUAAGGUUCUCCAGUGCACAUAAUUAUUUGCCUGAAUCAGUCUAGCCAAAUCUGUCAACAUUCCUAUUUGUUUGAAUACAGGAAUUAUAUCUUUGCUUAUUUAAACGUAUGUGUGCACUUGAUCCAGAAAACAAACAUUAGCCAAUGAUCUGCAUGUAACAUUUAAAGGGAACUGUUCCAUCUGUGGAAGUGACAAUUCCAUGUUCUUUCAUCCCAGGGAUAAAAAGCAUUACAGUG